rnacentral:rRNA from 1 species
GACGAACGCUGGCGGCGUGCUUAACACAUGCAAGUCGAACGGUAAGGCCCUUCGGGGUACACGAGUGGCGAACGGGUGAGUAACACGUGGGUGAUCUGCCCUGCACUUCGGGAUAAGCCUGGGAAACUGGGUCUAAUACCGGAUAGGACCACUGCCUGCAUGGGUGGUGGUGGAAAGCUUUUGCGGUGUGGGAUGGGCCCGCGGCCUAUCAGCUUGUUGGUGGGGUGAUGGCCUACCAAGGCGACGACGGGUAGCCGGCCUGGGAGGGUGACCGGCCACACUGGGACUGGGAUACGGCCCAGACGCCGACGGGAGGCAGCAGUGGGGAAUAUUGCACAAUGGGCGCAAGCCUGAUGCAGCGACGCCGCGUGAGGGAUGACGGCCUUCGGGUUGUAAACCUCUUUCAGCACCGACGAAGCGCAAGUGACGGUAGGUGCAGAAGAAGGACCGGCCAACUACGUGCCAGCAGCCGCCGUAA